CAGUCGCGUCGUCACGAUUUGAAUUGCUCGCAUCCUUUUUGGGUGGCUUUGACGGACGACGAUGAUAAAGAAGGAGAAGAUAUAAACCAAAAACGAUUUUAUUAUCUAGGAUAUGAACCGGAAUCAAUUAAAGCAGAUCACUAACCGGGUGUGCCGGUUACAACAUCGCGUGAUUUAAUUCAUAACUGAGCCGCUUUAACAUUAUUAUUACCCAAAACGACUCGGAGUAACAAUGCUAUAAUUGGUUAACUAAACCGGAAUCAGUGCUCUUUCUAACGUUUACCUGCUUUUUAUUACCUUAGACGAUCAUUAUCUGUGAAACUCUUUUGUGAUUGAACCAAUCGCGGGUCGCCACAUGUCGAUGGAACCCGCAAAUAUUACAAAACUGACCCAAGACCGAUUCUUAGUUUGCGAUUUUGGUGACCGUUUUUUUUAGAAAAAGUGAGGCUCUACACAUUAAUUUCCUGCAGAAACCGGUUUUAGAAACUGCUAUAAUCAUGCUCUUAGAAGUUCAAAUUAAAACUAGCAAACUCUUUUGAUAAAAAAAGAAAAAAAAAAGAAAACUAGCAAACUCUAAUGAAAAACGCAAAAAAAAAAUUGUCAUAUGAUAAAAGGUGAAAUUCAUAAGUG